GAUAACACACUAUACAACUACCCAUCUAAUCUCCAUUACUCAUGGUUGGUAUGCUCCCUUGUGGGGGAAAUAAUAUUUUCCUUUAAUUUGCAACUUUUAAAUAUUACAGUACAUUUUUUCCAUCUAAUCUCCAUUACUCAUGGUUGGUAUGCUCCCUUAUGGAGCAAAAAAUAUUUUCCUAUAAAUUUGCAACUUUUAAAUAUAACAGUACAUUUUUUCCCAAAUUCCAUUAAGUGCAAGCUAAAAUCAAACUAAGACCCACUUCCAUCAUGUAGAAUAAAUAUUGCUAUUCACUUAUACAAGCCUUGUUUUUUUUCUCACAUGGCAAAAGCAUAGUUCAUCCAUGUUUAAUUGGAAAUCUAAAGCCUCAAAAUACAUAGGACAGGCAGCCAAGAUCCUUGAGAACACCCAAACCCAUCUUUGUACGUGAUCACAUCCCCAAUGCUCUCACAAGACAAUUCCACACUUCUCAAUUUCUUAGGGCAUGAUCCCAAUGCUCUCACAACACAAUUCCAUACCACUUCUCAAUUUCUUAGGGCAUGUCCUUAGAUAGCAAUCUCUCUUUGAAAACCAUACACCAAACCAGAUCUCAAAUAAUAGCUAAAACCUCAAGACCUUUUCUAAACCGCUUUUGCAGCUUCUCAUCUAAAAUAAGACUACCAACCCAAUCUCCCUCUAAACCACCCAAUCAAUAUUCUUUUGCUCACCCGGGGAAAAAAUAUUGUUUUCUCAAAAAAUAACCAGAUCCCCAAUCACUCUCUAGACAUCUAAAUAAGGGGGGUGUCUUGGCUUUG
rnacentral:lncRNA from 1 species